rnacentral:rRNA from 1 species
UACGGAGGAUGCAAGCGUUAUCCGGAUUUAUUGGGUUUAAAGGGUGCGUAGGCGGGACUGUAAGUCAGGGUGAAAUACUGCAGCUUAACUGUAGCAUUGCCUUUGAAACUGCCGUUCUUGAGUACAGUUGAGGUAGGCGGAAUGUGUUGUGUAGCGGUGAAAUGCUUAGAUAUGACACAGAACACCGAUUGCGAAGGCAGCUUACUGGGAUGCCACUGACACUGAGGCACGAAAGCGUGGGUAUCAAACAGGAUUA